UACGUAGGUGGCAAGCGUUGUCCGGAUUUACUGGGCGUAAAGAGCGCGCAGGCGGUCGUUCAAGUCGCGUGUGAAAGCCCCCGGCUCAACUGGGGAGGGUCACGCGAUACUGAUCGACUCGAAGGCAGGAGAGGGAAGUGGAAUUCCCGGUGUAGUGGUGAAAUGCGUAGAUAUCGGGGAGGAACACCAGUGGCGAAGGCGGCUUCCUGGCCUGUUCUUGACGCUGAGGCGCGAAAGCUAGGGGAGCAAACGGG
rnacentral:rRNA from 1 species